CUUGUCGGCGAGCUCCUCUAUAUCCAGUGCCUCACUCUUGACAUUCCUACCAGGGUUUGGGUCACUUUCCCCAUACCCUGCUCUAUCAAAUGCAACUAGGUAAAUUCCCAGGUCGUCCACGAGCUCCUGAAUUAUAGCAAAGAAAGAAACCCUUUAAGUAAAAUAAGGAAGAAACAAACCAAGUGUCCACUUUUCAGUAGAUUUCAAUCUAAUUGUACUGAGCUCUCUGCCUUUACCUUUGAGACAGGUGAGGGGAAGUCCUUGGUGCUAUCAAAUGCAUGGACUGUGAUAAUCUUGUACUUGGCCUUGUCCCUCUGCACUCCGUCUUCCCGGUACGCAAGGUACCUUCCAUCCCUGAGCUUGAUCCUGGG
rnacentral:lncRNA from 1 species